CCGGUAGUUUUUUAUAUUUUCUGGGUCAAGGUUGGACUUUUUCAAGAGAGGCUUUAUUACUGCCACUUUUAGUGAGUUUGGUACACAUCCGGUGGAUAGAGAGCCGUUUAUUAUGUUCAACAUAGGAGGGCCAAGCACAGGAAGCAGCUCUUUCAGUAGUUUAGUUGGAAUCGGGUCCAGUAUGCAGCUUGAAGGUUUAGAGGCCAUGAUUAUUUUCAUCAUUGUGUCGAGAUAUAGUACUAAAACACUUGAGUGUCUCUCUUGAUCCUAGGUCCUGGCAGAGUUGUGCAGACUCAGGACAACUGAGCAGCAACAAGUGUUCAGCAUAUGUGGGAACUGUUGGAAAAGCAUUCCAGAGGAUCUCUUUCAGCUGCUGCUGACAACACAACUGCAUUCAAGCAGGUAGCCCAGCGGCUAAGGAGUUGGACCUGUGGCCAAAAGAUGGCCGGUUCGAAUCUUGAGCUGGGCGCUGGAUAAAAAGCAAGGCCCUUAACCCCACAACAUGCUCUCCAUCCAGGUGUACUGCAUUCAGCUUGAACCGGUGCCUGCUGUUAUGGGGGGUUUGAGAACAAAGUAGAAGACAUAUUUUUAUUGUUCACUGUAACUAAUGGUCAAAGUAUAUUGUAUUUUAUUGUAAAGAAGUCAGAGUUGAAGUGGGCCAUCAUUCAAACAAAGAGAUGCCUCCCUGGCCACCAGUGCAUCUUUCCAAACUAUGUUUGCAUAUGAUGACAAUCUAUUUAACUUCUUUAGCAUACUGGUUAUUGUUCGGAAUUUCGGAUGACUGACGUGCCCAAAGUAAACUGCCUGUUACUCAGGCCCAGAAGCUAGGAUAUGCAUAUAUGCAUUGGUAGCAUUGGUUAGAAAACACUCUGAAGUUUCUAAAACUGUUAAAUCAGUGUCUGUGAGUAUAACAGAACUGAUAUGGCAGGCGAAAACCAGAGGAAAAUCCAUCUGGAUAUUUUCUUUUUUUAGGUCACAGGCCAUUUCAAUGCUAGCCUAUGGGAUAUACAAAUACAGUAGUGCAAAAAAGUAUUUAGUCAGCCACCAAUUGUGCAAGUUCUCCCACUUAAAAAGAUGAGAGAGGCCUGUAAUUUUCAUCAUAGGUACACUUCAGCUAUGACAGACAAAAUGAGAAAAAAAAUCCAGAAAAUCACAUUGUAGGAUUUUUUAUGAAUUUAUUUGCAAAUUAUGGUGGAAAAUAAGUAUUUGGUCAAUAACAAACGUUUAUCUCAAUACUUUGUUAUAUACCCUUUGUUGGCAAUGACAGAGGUCAAACAUUUUCUGUAAGUCUUCACAAGGUUUUCACACACUGUUGCUGGUAUUUUGGCCCAUUCCUCCAUGCAGAUCUUCUCUAGAGCAGUGAUGUUUUGGGGCUGUUGCUGGGCAACACGGACUUUCAACUCCCUCCAAAGAUUUUCUAUGGGGUUGAGAUCUGGAGACUGGCUAGGCCACUCGAGGACCUUGAAAUGCUUCUUACGAAGCCACUCCUUUAUUGCCCGGGCGGUGUGUUUGGGAUCAUUGUCAUGCUGAAAGACCCAGCCACGUUUCAUCUUCAAUGCCCUUGCUGAUGGUAGGCUUUGUUACUUUGGUCCCAGCUCUCUGCAGGUCAUUCAUUAGGUGUGGUUCUGGGAUUUUUGCUCACCAUUCUUGUGAUCAUUUUGACCCCAUGGGGUGAGAUCUUGCGUGGAGCCCCAGAUCGAGGGAGAUUAUCAGUGGUCUUGUAUGUCUUCCAUUUCCUAAUAAUUGCUCCCACAGUUGAUUUCUUCAAACCAAGCUGCUUACCUAUUGCAGAUUCAGUCUUCCCAGCCUGAUGCAGGUCUACAAUUUUGUUUCUGGUGUCCUUUGACAGCUCUUUGGUCUUGGCCAUAGUGGAGUUUGGAGUGUGCCUGUUUGAGGUUGUGGACAGGUGUCUUUUAUACUUUUAUACUGAUAACAAGUUCAAACAGGUGACAUUAAUACAGUAACGAGUGGAGGACAGAGUUACAGGUCUGUGAGAGCCAGAAAUCUUGCUUGUUUGUAGGUGACCAAAUACUUAUUUUCCGCCAUAUUUUGCAAAUAAAUUCAUUAAAAAUCCUACAAAUUGAUUUUCUGGAUUUUUUUCUUCUCAUUUUGUCUGUCAUAUUUGAAGUGUACCUAUGAUGAAAAUUACAGGCCUCUCAUCUUUUUAAGUGGGAGAACUUGCACAAUUGGUGGCUGACUAAAUACUUUUUUGCCCUACUGUAGAUAGGACCCAGAUUGCAGUUCUUAUGGCUUCCACUAGAUGUCAACAGUCUUUAGAAAGGUUUUCAGGCUUGUUUUUUGAAAAAUAAGCAAGUAGUUGUAUUUUCUCCAAGGUGUCUUUCAUUAGAAAAGUAGUCUUGUUGGCGCGUGAAUGAGGUGCGCGCUCUUCGUUAUUUAUCUUCCCUAUUGAACAUACCAUCUUAAAUAUGAUCAUUUAUUUGGAUAUUAGCGUGCCUGAGGAUUAAUUAGAAACAUCGUUUGACUUGUUUGGAUGAACUUUACCCGCAACAUUUUGCAUUUGUUUGUAUGCAUGUUGAACGAGUGGAUUACUGAGAUCAUUGGCGCCAACUAAACAAACUUUUUGGGAUAUAAAGAAGGACUUUAUCGAACAAAACGACCAUUCAAUGUGUAGCUGGGACCCUUGUGAUUGCAAACAGAGGAAGAUCUUCAAAGGUAAGUGAUUUAUUUAAUCGCUAUUUGUGAUUUUAUGAUGCCUGUGCUGGUUGAAAAAGUAUUUUGAUGUGGGGUGCUGUCCUCAGAUAAUUGCAUGGUAUGCUUUCGCCGGAAAGCCUUUUUGAAAUCUGACAACGCGGUUGGAUUAACAAGAAGUUAAGCUUUUAAAUAAUGUACGACACUUGUAUUUUUUUCAUUAAUGUUUAACAUUACGAUUUUUGUAUUUUGAAUUUCGCGCUCUGCAAUUUCACCGGAUGUUGUCGUAGGUGUCCCGCGAGUAGUUCAUGCGCCCAAACAGGUCUAUUUAAAAAAGUAUGCUGAUAUUCUUUUGUCCAUUAUUUAAUUGUUUAAAAAAAUUAUAUUCUUACCUCAAAGUAUUACUAUUUAAUAGUAGUAGCCAUAAUUCAUGAAUGGCACCAUGCAGGGUUCCAUAUUGAACCAUUUUGGUUCAGUGAAGAACCUCUGGGAUUCUGAUCAAUGAGCCCUACAAUUCUAUAUAUAAAGAAAGUGAUAGAACCCUUUUUGGUUCUAUAAAGUACCUUUUUUUCUAACACGGAACCCAAACUGGAUGUGCGCGUGCGUCAUUGUGCAUUAGCUUGCACUUGCUAGCUAAUUUGUCCUAUUUAGCUAGCUUGCUGUUGCUAGCUAAUUUUGUCCUGGGAUAUAAACAUUGAGUUGUUAUUUUACCUGAAAUGCACAAGGUCCUCUACUCAGCCAAUUAAUCCACACAUAAAACGGUCAACCGAAUCGUUUCUAGUCAUCUCUCUUCCUUCCAGGCUUUUUCUUCACUUGACUUUAUAUUGCGAUAGGCAACUUUCAUAAAUUAGGUGUAUUACCGCACUGACUUCAUUCGUCUUUCCCACCCACGUGGGUAUAAACAAUGAGGAGAUGGCACGUGUGUACAUGCUUGUAUAAACCAAUGAGGAGAUGAGAGGCAGGACUUGCAGGACUUAAUUGAAUAACAUAGGUUUCUAAAUGUAUUUUGCAACACUCGCACACGCAAGCAGUGUAGUCAGCCUGUAAGAGUGAAUGGCCUAUGGUUUAUUAUGUGUGGGUCUAUUUGAGUCGCAUGUUAAAUGCAAGAGUCAUGGAUUUAUGUACUGUAGGCCUGAAAGAUGAUUUGGUCUGUAAUGCGAAAUCACAUGUUAGAUGGGUUGUUGUGUGUGAUCGAUUACAGUAGGGUAUAGGGUAGGCUAUGGUUUUAUGAUAAUUUAAUGAUGAUUUGAGUGCCCAAAUUUUGGCCCAACUGGCCCUGCCAUCCACUUAUUUCUGCCUAUGCCACUGCUCAGAGCCUGGCCAGGGUGCUGCUCUCUGGGCAACCCAACCUUCACAGGACAAAGACAAUACAGGGGGAGAGAGAUGAGACAGCACAGGGGCAGGAGGAGCCCAUAGCACCGUUAAUGAUGAAAAGAGCACAGGGCAUGUACUGGGACUAGGCUACUACUCCUCAUCAGACGAUGAAGCCGACACAUGACAUGGCUUUGUUAUUAACACUGGAUCCCUGAUCACUACUCAGAACUCAAUCUGCCAUUCAUGGACAUCCCGUGCUCCAGUACUUGUCCAGUUUGCCCUGAACUCCAAUCAGCUGUUGUGAACCACAGGUUCUUUCUUUUCUUAUUGUACAUUAUGUAAAUACACAAUAAAAAGGGCAAUGAUACAAUGUACUUCAAGGGCUUUUCUUUUUCUAGAGAAAACAAAUGUGACCUGACAGACCCUUCUGAGAUUAUGGUGCUGAAUUCUACUUUGGAAAUAAUAUAAGAACCACUAAUAAUUGGUAGGACAGACUUUCACUCCAUUCUGAUUGUUUGAUUAGAACAUGAAACAAUAAGUGCAACAGAUGACCUGCUAAGGCGAUGAUGAGAAUAGAAUGUCUAUAUUUCAGGGUGACAUAUUAGCUGUCACUCUCAGGUUGCAGCUUCUGUCUCUGUUGUUGUAUAAUCAGGCUCCACCACUUCCAGCAGCUUUAUGCAACAGACACCUCGCUGUGAUGACAUGCUGACUCAAUGUUAGCCAGACUGCUUAUUCAUAUAAAAACUCACAGCCCUGACGAUGCACAGCCCACGGCCGACCCUAACCCCCCGUUUAUGUGGGGACCUCUAUCAGCAUGGCACUUCUGGGAAACAGGCUUGUUAUAUACCCAGAGAGAGUAGGAACUAGGAAACCAGAACAGUGUCUCUGGUUGGGCUGACGUGGUGGUGGUGAG